rnacentral:rRNA from 1 species
GCAUAACGCGAAGAACCUUACCAGCCCUUGACAUCCCGGUCGCGGUUACGAGAGAUCGUUUCCUUCGGUUCGGCUGGACCGGUGACAGGUGCUGCAUGGCUGUCGUCAGCUCGUGUCGUGAGAUGUUGGGUUAAGUCCCGCAACGAGCGCAACCCUCGCCCUUAGUUGCCAUCAUUCAGUUGGGCACUCUAAGGGGACUGCCGGUGAUAAGCCGAGAGGAAGGUGGGGAUGACGUCAAGUCCUCAUGGCCCUUACGGGCUGGGCUACACACGUGCUACAAUGGUGGUGACAGUGGGCAGCGAGACCGCGAGGUCGAGCUAAUCUCCAAAAGCCAUCUCAGUUCGGAUUGCACUCUGCAACUCGAGUGCAUGAAGUUGGAAUCGCUAGUAAUCGCGAAUCAGAAUGUCGCGGUGAAUACGUUCCCGGGUCUUGUACACACCGA